AUUGAACGCUGGCGGCAGGCCUAACACAUGCAAGUCGAACGAGUGGCGGACGGGUGAGUAAUGUCUGGGAAACUGCCUGAUGGAGGGGGAUAACUACUGGAAACGGUAGCUAAUACCGCAUACCAUCAGAUGUGCCCAGAUGGGAUUAGCUAGUUGUUGGGGUAACGGCUCACCAAGGCGACGAUCCCUAGCUGGUCUGAGAGGAUGACCAGCCACAUGGGAACUGAGACACGGUCCAGACGCGUACGGGAGACAGCAGUGGGUAAUAUUGCAAAAUGGGCGAAAGCCUGAUGCAGCCAUGCCGCGUGUAUGAAGAAGGCCUUCGGGUUGUAAAGUACUUUCAGCGGGGAGGCGUUACCAGCAGAAGAAGCACCGGCUAACUCCGUGCCAGCCGCCGCGGUAAUUC
rnacentral:rRNA from 1 species